rnacentral:rRNA from 1 species
AGCAGCCGCGGUAAUUCCAGCUCCAAUAGCGUAUAUUAAAGUUGUUGCAGUUAAAAAGCUCGUAGUUGAAUUUCGGGAUUCAUCCGUUGGUCGGGCUUCACGGUCCGUACUGGUGUGAUGGGUUCCUACCUUCUGAAUAACCGGCAUGCCAUUAAUUUGGUGCGCCGGGGAAGCAGAACUAUUACCUUGAAAAAAUUAGAGUGCUUAAAGCAGGCAAGUGCCUGAAUAGGUUAGCAUGGAAUAAUAAAAUAGGACGGCAAUGGUUCUAUUUUGUUGGUUUCUAGAAUCACCGUAAUGAUUAAUAGGGAUAGUUGGGGGCAUUAGUAUUCAAUUGUCAGAGGUGAAAUUCUUGGAUUUAUGAAGACUAACUUCUGCGAAA